GUUAAUUGCAUAUUAGGGCUCCGAAUGGGGUUUUGUAAAAUAUGAGGGUUUGAUCUAAUUUGACCCUUCGUAAACCUAAUUGCUAGGUAACGAAACGCGUUGGCGAAGACGGUUCGGCAAUCCGACGAGCCGUUACAAAGUUAUUAAAGAAAUGGACGUUUAGGCUUCGGGUCCGCCGGGAGGGCCGAGGCGACAUCGUAAAUUCAUGAAAAUGGAUUUGAAGCAUCGUGGCACAUAACCGAAGACCUUUAAUUUUCGGAUCGUGAAUUGGAGGCCGUUCGGGUGGUCGCGUGAGAGAUCGGGCCAAACCGGGUGCCGGGUGCCGCGGGAGGCCGAUUGCAAGUGUCGACAAGCAAUCGGAAUGCGAAAUGAGGUGGGUUGUGCUUACCGAAGCGACUAGGUCGCCCUUUAUGUUUAAGAAACAUACGAAUUCACAUUGAUGCAUAUAGUUGUAUUGGUAGGCUUACAUGAUAAUAUGAAUGCUUGAAACAUAUUAUGUAGUUGAUAUUACCUACCAAUGAGAUGAAAUGUAUAAUGAAUUAAAUGCUAAAAGAAUGCAUGAGAUGCUAAGUAUAGACUACUUUGGAUGAUGAUUAUAUGUAUGUUGACAUAUCAUGUGAUGCUAGUAAUAUAUGUGCAUGAUGACAUGUUGUGAAUUAACAUAUUGUGGAUUAUGUUAAAUAGAAACAUAUACAUGAUGACAUAUAUUGCAUAUGAUAGAAGAAUUAUACAUGUUGCCAUAUUGUGGAACAUAGUGGAUGAAUUAUGCAUGUUGAACUUGGUCGAUUAGAGAAAUUGACAUUGGAAAACAAGAACACAUCGAGUGGCAUUAAUGUAGUGUAUUUGACACUAGAGGUUUGAGAACCUAGGGAUAGGUGAAUCCCUUAGAAAAUGCCUUGUGGAUAAAGAACUUAGUAAACCUAAGUACCCUCACAUGGAGAGGUUGUCGAUGAGUUAUUGAGACAUUGACUCUAGUUGUAGAGCAUCCUCACUUGGAGAGGAUUUGAUUGGGUCGUUGACUCUAGUUGUAGAGCAUCCUCACUUGGAGAGGAUUUGAUUGGGUUGUGGACCCUAGUUGUAGAGUAUCCUCACUUGGAGAGGAUAGAUCUAGCUCACAGUCUGCGUUUGGGAUGGUAUAGCCAUCCAAUCCCCACAUGGAGGGGAUUGUCGUCGAGUACUCCGGAGUGUCGUGCGACUAGGACCACUUGGAGGUCCGGACCACAUGGAGGUCCGCAGACGGUCCCGGGCUUGGGUGCACUUGGAGCUCCCUCCCCACUUUGGGAUUGAAAGGUGAGUUAUUGGCGAACCCUAGGGCUUCGCUACAGAUUGGGUAAAAGAACAGUGAACAAUGCCAUUGAACAUUAUUAUUCGAACAUGGAUCGAAUUUGUUAGCAUGAUAGUAAACCUUUACUAUUUGAUGCAUGGUAUGAGUUUUAGUUGCAUCCCAGUUGAGUGGAUUUAGGGCCGAGGUGCAUGUGAGACAUCCUUCACCUUGAGCCUGGCUUUGUGCGGUAUUCCGCGUAUGAUUGACUCAAGACCGGGUCGAGUGGAUAGCUUAUGAAAGCAGGUUAAACCUUAUGAGCAGAAUUGUAAUUGACAAGAAUCUAAAAUAGAGGAAAACUUAGAAGUCAAUUAGUGGAACUGUGAAUAACAGGAAUAAAAGUAGUAUCGAUUGAACUACUAGUUAGUUGCAUGGUUGCAUAAACUGCAUGAAUUUCAUAUUGCAUUUUGUGAGGCACAACAUGUAUUUCAAUACUUGAAUAUAUGUAUCUGUUGGAUAUCUGUUGGACUAACAUGUUGCAGGGCCUCCUUAGACCUAUUGGUCGAGCUUUUCCCUUGGGUGGCCGUACCCACUGGGAACCAUGGAGUUGGUUCUCACCCCACGUUGUUUUGGGGUGUUACAGGUUCGCACAUGAGCGGCGCAACGGCGCGAGGCGAGGGCGUAGCUCCAUAGAUAGCGCCCUACCCCAGAGACCAGAGAUAGAGGUACCCCGAGUCGGCAUAGCCUAGGGGUAGAGGGAAAAGAAAAAAAGCAAACUUGUAUUAAUAUUGCGAUCAUUGAUUGUAUUUGGAAGAAAAUAUAAUGUAAUAAUGCUAAUGUGAUGUAAAAAUGAAUCUAAUGAAUGCUUGUAAUAACAUAGGAUGUGUUAUGUUGUUUGAUACCUUCCUUAUGCAAUCUUGCUUGAAUACUGUUCCUGGUUGGAACUUCUUGUACUUGUAUUGAUUGCGACGCCUAGGACGUACAGGGGAGACUCUGUCCGUUCGGCGGUCUGUCGGCGGCGCCGCGACCUCGGCCAAAUAGGCGGGUGGUUGCGGGUCGUGACAGUGUAAUAAAUAAAAAAAUAGGAUCACGAAAAAAAUUAAUUUUAGCUUGAUAUUAUAUUGACAACACCGUUUUUAGUCGAAACUACAUGGAAUAUGGAUCAGAUAAUGGAUUGGUCAUUUUGGAUUCUGUGUUUCAAAGCUUUGAUAUUGUGGUCUUGAGAAGGAGUUGAUAGAUGUGCAUAGUGAGUCUACUCCCCAAUAAACUCGAGCUUAAUACGACAUGAAGAUUACAAUCUCAAUGAGUUUAACAACCAAAUACUUACCAUAAUAUCUUACAAUCUGAAUUUGAUGGAAUGAUUCAUAACCUUUUUUUUUCUCUAUUCUAAAUAAUCUUUUUAUUCCUUUACUCUUUAGGAAAACAUAAGUAAGUGUUUUUUUCCCCUUUUUUGUUCUUUUUUAGCCAAAAAUUUCUUCCAGUGCUAUUACAUUUCUUGGUUCUGAUACUUUAGCUACACAUUUGGAAUUCAACUUAGCCCUUCUAUAAAACUGAAGCCACAAAGAUAUUGUUUUUAAAGAAAUAUAGCAUUUUUGGAGGUUAAAGUGGUCAUUUCAUAGAAGAAAAUGAUACGAAAACUCGCUGUCGUUUUGAAUUCUAUAUUAAGUAAUACUAUAUCCACUAACACUCCUAAAACUUUUUCCACUAAAAAUUACUAGCUGUUUCCUCGC
rnacentral:lncRNA from 1 species